GGAUUGUAAACUCCUGUCGUUAGGGACGAUAAUGACGGUACCUAACAAGAAAGCACCGGCUAACUACGUGCCAGCAGCCGCGGUAAAACGUAGGGUGCAAGCGUUGUCCGGAAUUACUGGGUGUAAAGGGAGCGCAGGCGGGAAGACAAGUUGGAAGUGAAAACCAUGGGCUCAACCCAUGAAUUGCUUUCAAAACUGUUUUUCUUGAGUAGUGCAGAGGUAGAUGGAAUUCCCGGUGUAGCGGUGGAAUGCGUAGAUAUCGGGAGGAACACCAGUGGCGAAGGCGGUCUACUGGGCACCAACUGACGCUGAGGCUCGAAAGCAUGGGUAGCAAACAGGAUUAGAUACCCUGGUAGUCCAUGCCGUAAACGAUGAUUACUAGGUGUUGGGGGAUUGACCCCCUCAGUGCCGCAGUUCACACAAUAAGUAAUCCACCUGGGGAGUA
rnacentral:rRNA from 1 species